GGUUUCACCGUGUUGGCCAGGCUGGUCUUGAACUCCUGACCUCAGGUGAUCCACCUGCCUCGGCCUCCCAAAGUGCUGGGAUUCCAGGCGUGAGCCACCGCGCCUGGCCAGGAUGUUUUUCACACAGACCUCGUUGGUUCCAUGUGCACCGAGUGCCCACUCUGCCCUGUAUGCUGCUCCAGCGACUGUGCCAGGGACACAUCGGGCAACAAAGGCCCCUGUGCUUACAGAGUCAGGGUUGCAGGGGAGACAGACAAUAAGCAAACCAGCCAAACACAACAGGUCAGAAAGUGGGAAGAAGGCAGGUGAUACCGGGCUUGGAACUUCAAAAGAUGGUGGCAGACGCCUCACCAAGCAGGCGAGGGAGUGGCGGAAGGAGCGGCAGGUGCAGACGCCCUGAGGUGGGUGCAGAGUACAUGCGCCUGGUUUCCAGUGCAGCAGGCAGGCGGGCGUAAGGGGCCCCUGAGGCAGGGCCUGGUCGGCUGCUGCAGGACGUUCGCCUUUACCCCAAGUCAGCUGAGAGCCACCGCAGAGGAGCAGAGGAGGGGCUUGGUCUGUCUGACAUUUUAGAAGGACUAGUCCCACAUUUCAGAUACAGCAGGCCUGGUGGGGCCUGAGAACUUUCAUUUGCACCAAGUUCCCAGGUGGCACUGAUGCUGCCAGUCCAGGGGCCAUACUUGCAGAAUCACAGGGCUGGGCUCCGCGCCAACAGUGCAGAAAGCCUGAUUCUCACUUAGCUGUCCUCAAUGAUUCAGGGAGGUUUUGCAUACACAGAUGCUUCCUUAACUCUCGCAUGUUUUAACCUGAAAGGACACUGAUCCCUUUCGUAAACUUUCCUGAUCUUAAAAAUCUUUGCUAAAGCUGUAGUCCCAGCUACUCAGGAGGCUGAGGUAGGAGAAUGGCGAGACCCAGGAGGCGGAGCUUGCAAUGAGCCAACAUCGCACCACUGCACUCCAGCCUGGCCAACAGAGUGAGACUGUCUCCAAAAAAAAAAAAAAUUGACUAAAGGUACAAACAGGGAAAGGUGCGGCUCACCCAGGCUGUUUAAGAGGAGACUUGGGGCCAAAGAAGAGGCAGGGAGGCCAGAGAGGAGUAAUCCAAGCAAGAGGCUGUGUCCCCAGGCCCAGGUUGGCAGCAGAGGAGUGAGAAGAUGCGGGGUUCUGGAUAUAUUCUAGGAGUAGAGGUGAUGGGUUGUGAUGGAUGGAUGUGGGGCUGAGAGAAACAAAGUGCCCCAGGCAGUGGGAGGUGGAGUUAUUCCCUGACAUGGGGUAGAUGUGGGGGAAGAUCAAGGUUAACUUCAGAUGCACAGUGGAUAAGCAGGACAGCUGUCCAGUAGGCAGCAGACAAAUGAACACAGGAUUCAGAAAGCUGUGGAUGGAACUCGGAAGUCGGCUGCAUUUAGGUGACUGUUUUUUUUUUUUUUUUGAGACGGAGUCUUGCUGUGUCACCCAGGCUGGAGUGCAGUGCUGCAAUCUCGGCUCACUGCACGCUCCGCUUCCCGGGUUCAAGGGAUUCUCCUGCCUCAGCCUCCCGAGUACCCAAGUAGCUGGGACUACAGGUGAAAAUCUCACCCGUGGCCGGCGGCUACCGUGCUGGACAGCACAGGUGCGGACAGAGGAACCCUGGGAGCCGCAGGUUUCAGCUUUGGGGAAAGGAGGAUGAACUAGCAAAGGCGGCCAAGAAGGAACAGCCUGAAAGGCAGGAGACCCCAGGCUGCCGGGUGACCAGGAUGGCAAGAAUGGGCUCCGGGGAAGAGCGCAUAGCCCUGGGUCACUGCGCCGAGCCUGAGCCGAGGACCAAGAUGAGAACCGUGGUUGACUCAGCAACGUGGAGCCAUUCCUACCAAGCUUGCUCCCAUUUUGCUGGGACAGGGACACUGUGAGUGGCAGGGGCAGCAGCCACCGGGGCAGGUUUUGUGGAGAUGCACAGUGGGAAGCUCCGGCUUAACCCCGCCGCAGCCUCAUGAUACUGGCACUGCCCUUAGUUGAUAGGAAACAGCUCAGAGAAGGGGCACUGCUUGCUUAGAGUCACACCGCAAAAAAAAAAAAAAAAAAAAAAAAAAAAAA